rnacentral:rRNA from 1 species
CACGGGGGGAGCAAGCGUUGUUCGGAAUCACUGGGCGUAAAGGGCGUGUAGGCGGUCAAGUAAGUGGAAUGUGAAAGCCCCCGGCUUACCCGGGGAUCUGCAUCCCAAACUGCUUGGCUUGAGUACGGGAGAGGAUAGGGGAAUUCCUGGUGUAGCGGUGAAAUGCGUAGAUACCAGGAGGAACACCGGUGGCGAAGGCGCCUAUCUGGCCCGAUACUGACGCUGAGGCGCGAAAGCUAGGGGAGCAAACGGG